GUAUUUAAAUGAUGAUAAAAUGAAGCUGAUUAAAAGUCAUGCUGAAUACACACAUUAAUUAACCAAAAGGAUUCUGAAAAUAC